rnacentral:rRNA from 1 species
CCUACGGGUGGCUGCAGUGGGGAAUAUUGGACAAUGGGGGCAACCCUGAUCCAGCCAUGCCGCGUGUGUGAAGAAGGCCUUCGGGUUGUAAAGCACUUUAAGCGGGGAGGAAGGCCUGAUGGCUAAUAUCCAUCGGGAUUGACGUUACCCGCAGAAUAAGCACCGGCAAACUUCGUGCCAGCAGCCGCGGUAAUACGAAGGGUGCGAGCGUUAAUCGGAAUUACUGGGCGUAAAGCGCGCGUAGGUGGUUAAGUAAGCGAUCUGUGAAAGCCCCG